rnacentral:tRNA from 1 species
GGACUGUAGCUUAGUGGCAGAGCUCUUGCCUACCAUGCAUGAGGGACUGAGUUCCAUCCUCAGCACCA